CCGUAGAGUGAUUCGUCUGGUUAAUUCCGUUAACGAACGAGACCUUAACCUAUUAAUUAGUGAGGCGAACUGGGCCUUCGGGUCCAUCAAGUUCGUCGUUCACACUUCUUAGAGGGACUCUCGGCAUCUCUAGCCGAUGGAAGUUUGAGGCAAAAACA
rnacentral:rRNA from 1 species